rnacentral:lncRNA from 1 species
CAGUCCGCCGCUCACCCCGCGGCCGCACCUUCCCGCCUUCUCAGGUAACUAAGUGCGGGUCUCGGGCCUGGCAGAAGCUUCUUCGGCCCCGUGCCCUCGCCUGGCCCCGCCCCGUCGGUUGUGUGCUUGUCUCGUCCUGCCCCCAGGCCCUGCCGGUCCCCACCGUUAGGCCGGCGUCCCUGCCCGGCCCCGCUGCGGGCUGGCGCCAGCUCAGGAGGACGCCCCGAAGCCGAGGCCUCGGAAGCAGGUUUUUCCCAGACCUUCUCCUGUCCCGCGUUCCCCCUAGGCCGGCCGUAGGGACCAGACCCCACCCUAAGCCCAUAGCCGGCCUUCGCGCUCCGGGUGACCCUGGCUGGCCCUGUUUGUCUGUGGGUCCUGGGAUGCGCCACUCCCGGCAGGAAGGGGCGCCGCCGAGGCCCGGUCUCAGCCUGGAACCCCGCUCCUGCCGUCGGGGCGCUUUCUGCGGCUGCCCACACACGACCCCAGGCAAGGGGUGGGGGCGCGGGACCCUCCAUGACAUGGCGGCGGGGCGCUCUCACUUCUUUGAAACCAGCGUAAACUGGACCCGCCCCACCUCCCAUACCUUGGGGGAGCCCCGGGAAAGGCUGUGGCCUGGGGGUCUGCAGGGCGUUGGCAGUGGAGGUGGGGAGAGACCCCAGCCCUUUCCUGUCCCCCCCACCAGCCUUGCCUUCCUCGCCGUGAGCCGGGGACAGUGGAGGGGAGUCAGGGAGGGCCCACCAGAUGGACUUUCUUGUGACUCAUCCUAUAAAGCCCCUCGGGCUUAGCCACCCUCCCCAGGACCCGUGUGGUCUCCCGGACUGUGCUGGAAGCUUAGAGCCAGAAUGACUUUUCCACCCUCGGGCUGGCUGGCUCAGUGGGCAGCAGGGACAGGGGGCUGUGAAGAGAAAACUCACUCGCCAGGGUCAGGGGCCGCUUGCUCACUGAGGAAAGCAGAGGGGUUCCUGCCGCUUGCCUCAGGAACAAAGCUAGUUGGUGAGGCACUGCCUUGCAGUUGUAGGAGAGGAAUAAUGGCCCCCGUGGGUGCUUGGUUGGAACGAUUAAAGGAGAAUAACAGUUUAGCACGAUUAUUUC